rnacentral:rRNA from 1 species
GACGUAGGGCGCGAGCGUUGUCCGGAUUUAUUGGGCGUAAAGAGCUCGUAGGCGGCUCAUUGCGUCAACCGUGAAAACCAGCAGCUCAACUGUUGGCUUGCGGUCGAUACGGGCGGGCUAGAGUUCGGUAGGGGAGACUGGAAUUCCUGGUGUAGCGGUGAAAUGCGCAGAUAUCAGGAGGAACACCGGUGGCGAAGGCGGGUCUCUGGGCCGAUACUGACGCUGAGGAGCGAAAGCGUGGGGAGCGAACAGG